rnacentral:rRNA from 1 species
CCUACGGGAGGCAGCAGUGGGGAAUAUUGGACAAUGGGCGAAAGCCUGAUCCAGCCAUGCCGCGUGUGUGAAGAAGGUCUUCGGAUUGUAAAGCACUUUAAGUUGGGAGGAAGGGCGGUAAGUUAAUACCUUGCUGUUUUGACGUUACCGACAGAAUAAGCACCGGCUAACUUCGUGCCAGCAGCCGCGGUAAU